rnacentral:lncRNA from 1 species
UUCUUUGGAUAUUUGGGAUAUUUAUAUUGGUUGCAUAUUUGGUUGCUUUGGGAUGUUUUCUUUUUUCAUUGCCUUUGGAUGCUUUUAUUUCAAAUGUACUGCCAUUUUUUUUGUUAUUCUAUCUACUUGUUUACAUGCUUCAUUUUUCUUUUGUUUCUAUUUUUUAUUAUUAUUCUUAUGUCUCUUUAUGUUUAAGUUUUGUGCACUUAUUCCCUUAGUUUUUCAGCCAUGCAUUCUUUUUUAUAUUACAAAAAGAGGGAGAAGAAUACAAAAUUUGCAUCAUAUAAUUUUCAACUUAAACUCAAAAGCAAAAUUCUCC